GGGCCUCAGUUUUUACCCAAUGAUGGGGAGUUGGGACUCUGAGUUGGUCAGAUGUUAAAGGGGCUGACCAACCCCCCAGACUGAAGAAAAAGUCUAAAGUGCUUUCUUUAUAUACCUUUUGGUAUUCCGGUGCGAAUUAGUUCACGUGCGAAUAACAAGCGGUACCGCCAGUAUUCGCGCGACGUUUGUAUGGUAACACUCAUAACUUUUGCAUCAAGUAAAGGCUUUAGCAUUACAAAUGCGGGAAAAGGGAUGAUUUGUUGUUUGGGAAUUGUUUUGGUAACGAUGCCAAGUUGGAUUUGGGUACCUUGAUUGAAUAACAAUGCCAGACGGCCAUAAGUCAUUACGAUCUGUGGAGGAAAUUCGGUUCAUCACUUCUUACCAAUCCUGGAUCCAUUGGAAUGGAAAAGUCACGACGGAGACAAAUCACGGGUCUCAAUCCACAACACAAAUAUUCACAAUUAUUAUACGGUUCACAAAGUUAUACAAUAUAGUCCUUGGAAAUAUCCAAAAGGUCCAGUGCAUCCGUCUACUAUGAAUCCAGCAUCAUUGGGAAAUGUCCAGGAUCAACGUUCGGAAGUACAUCACACGGCUUGGAGGGUUCCCUCAAGGCAAGGCGGUACUGAAUCUGAUGCCAUUGGGGAAGAUUGGAGAUUGGGAGCGGGUAAAUUAUGAUCCUGAUUAUCUUCCACAGCAUUGGACGAGGAUGGGCGUGAUUUGAAAGUGACUUCUGAAUCAAAACUUUCUUCAGUUUCCAUUGUAAAUAUCGGGUACAAAAAUUGAU